GCGGGCGUGGCGGAAUUGGCAGACGCACUGGAUUUAGGUUCCAGCGAUAGCAAUCGUGGGGGUUCAAAUCCCCCCGCCCGCACCA
rnacentral:tRNA from 1 species